CCACUACACGCCUUACUAUGGGAUACCACUGCUUCUCGACAUCGGGCAACCUUGGCACGCCACGUCCAGAGAGAGAGGAGAGAAAGAGAAGAGGAGAUAUCCUAUCAACUAUCUGACCUUGAAUAAAAGUACAAUAAAAUGACAGAUUUACACUGCCACAUGCUGUUCCUUGGAAUUCACAUGUUGCAGUCAGCAGGUACCUCUAGCCCGAGGACAACAAUCUGAAACAGACCAUUCAAGGAGGCUCCUCCAUCAAUCCAGACAGUCGUUGAGUCUACAACGCCUCAUUAAAUAAUUCUCAGUAUUCA